CAACAUUUUAUGGUCAAGCACACCUCUAUCAUCCAUAAGCCUCAUUACAUUACAUGUCUAAACUGUACUUUUACAUAACAUCAAAUACAUUUAUCAUGUCCACACUAUCUAUUACAUAAACAAGACUUCAAUACUCUUGCUGACCUCCUGGUCUACCCUGUGCCUGCAAACCUGGGGGAUUAGGGAGAGGGGUGAGCUACU
rnacentral:lncRNA from 1 species